UACAUGCAUCACGAGUUUUGCGGUAAUCAUAAACUGUGUGAAACGCAAUCAAACAUCGAAAUGCAGUCGGGCUAAGGCAAACUCCACUUAUUUCCGCUUCCUGCUGCCGGCUGUCGGCUGGGCGAGCGAGCGGGUCGGCGCACUCAAAUGCGAAGUGCAAAUAAAUGACAAAUUACAAAUUACCGUUGGGCCUGCUGCACCCAAGGCACACAUAAAUAUGUAACUCAAGCGAAACGGUGGAAAAGCCACAGCAGCAGCAGCACCACACAAAAGAUUAUGACAUUGCCCAGCGGCUGAUCGCUUUGUCACAAGUCAGGCCUCAAGACGACACCCGAAAUGCGACUUGUUAUCGCAUUUUGAAAAUCUUCAGCCCGCUAAGUGAAUGUGCAAUAAAAAACACAGCCACCAUUGUUUGGGAACAUGUCGAAAAUUCAACUGGGAUGUCCCUCGAACAAACUUUUCACUGCCCUGCCUGACUUGCUGCUGCUGUGGUGCGUACGGCACCCCAAACCCCCAUUGUAGCUGGCGACCACGAGACUUCACAAAUUUUUGGCACCUGGGUGUGAAAGCCUUGACGGACUGUUGAGGGAUGUCGCUUUGUCCUGAAAUGGAGACGGAAACGCAAGAGUCCAAGUUUGCUCAUCUCUCAAAGGGUUUUAUCUAUAAAUUCUAGUACCCAACUUCCUCUACGCCGCAAGAGCACAGCACAACUCUCUUGCCCAUUAACAUUUUUUUAAUGCCGCAUUUAACCAAAUAUGUAUGGCUACAAAUGUAGCUAAUUUUCCUAUAAACUCGUACACACACAAUAUGCGAUAUAUGUAUAUUUAUUUUCAUGAUCUCUGGUAGUGUUGGCAAUUAAUACCCGAGAAGCGUUAAAAGCGCAACGCUCGAUGGACAUUGAGGGCGGCGGCACGGCACUCCAACUCUGUUUGUGGCUGUGACAAAU